rnacentral:rRNA from 1 species
CGCGGCCUAUCAGCUUGUUGGUGAGGUAAUGGCUCACCAAGGCGUCGACGGGUAGCCGGCCUGAGAGGGUGACCGGCCACACUGGGACUGAGACACGGCCCAGACUCCUACGGGAGGCAGCAGUGGGGAAUAUUGCACAAUGGGCGGAAGCCUGAUGCAGCAACGCCGCGUGAGGGAUGACGGCCUUCGGGUUGUAAACCUCUUUUAGCAGGGAAGAAGCGAGAGUGACGGUACCUGCAGAAAAAGCGCCGGCUAACUACGUGCCAGCAGCCGCGGUAAUACGUAGGGCGCAAGCGUUAUCCGGAAUUAUUGGGCGUAAAGAGCUCGUAGGCGGUUUGUCGCGUCUGCUGUGAAAUCCCGAGGCUCAACCUCGGGCCUGCAGUGGGUACGGGCAGACUAGAGUGCGGUAGGGGAGAUUGGAAUUCCUGGUGUAGCGGUGGAAUGCGCAGAUAUCAGGAGGAACACCGAUGGCGAAGGCAGAUCUCUGGGCCGUAACUGACGCUGAGGAGCGAAAGGGUGGGGAGCAAACAGGCUUAGAUACCCUGGUAGUCCACCCCGUAAACGUUGGGAACUAGUUGUGGGGUCCAUUCCACGGAUUCCGUGACGCAGCUAACGCAUUAAGUUCCCCGCCUGGGGAGUACGG